rnacentral:rRNA from 1 species
GACGAACGCUGGCGGCGUGCUUAACACAUGCAAGUCGAACGAUGAUGCCCAGCUUGCUGGGCGGAUUAGUGGCGAACGGGUGAGUAACACGUGAGUAACCUGCCCCUGACUCUGGGAUAAGCGUUGGAAACGACGUCCAAUACUGGAUAUGAUCGCCGACCUCAUGGUCUGGUGGUGGAAAGAUUGUAUGGUUGGGGAUGGACUCGCGGCCUAUCAGCUUGUUGGUGAGGUAAUGGCUCACCAAGGCGACGACGGGUAGCCGGCCUGAGAGGGUGACCGGCCACACUGGGACUGAGACACGGCCCAGACUCCUACGGGAGGCAGCAGUGGCGAAUAUUGCACAAUGGGCGAAAGCCUGAUGCAGCAACGCCGCGUGAGGGAUGACGGCCUUCGGGUUGUAAACCUCUUUUAGUAGAGAAGACGCGAAAGUGACGGUACCUGCAGAAAAAGCACCGGCUAACUACGUG